rnacentral:rRNA from 1 species
AACGAACGCUGGCGGCAGGCUUAACACAUGCAAGUCGAACGCAUCGCAAGAUGAGUGGCAGACGGGUGAGUAACGCGUGGGAACAUACCCUUUUCUACGGAAUAGCUCUGGGAAACUGGAAUUAAUACCGUAUACGCCCUACGGGGGAAAGAUUUAUCGGGGAAGGAUUGGCCCGCGUUGGAUUAGCUAGUUGGUGGGGUAAAGGCCUACCAAGGCGACGAUCCAUAGCUGGUCUGAGAGGAUGAUCAGCCACAUUGGGACUGAGACACGGCCCAAACUCCUACGGGAGGCAGCAGUGGGGAAUAUUGGACAAUGGGCGCAAGCCUGAUCCAGCCAAGCCGCGUCAGUGAUGAAGGCCUUAGGGUUGUAAAGCUCUUUCACCGAUGAAGAUAAUGACGGUAGUCGGAGAAGAAGCCCCGGCUAACUACGUGCCAGCCGCCGCGGUAAGAC